rnacentral:rRNA from 1 species
GACGAACCGGACAAACGUUAUUCGGAAUUACUGGGCUUAAAGGGUUUGUAGGCGGCCUUGUAAGUCAGGCGUGAAAUCCCUCGGCUCAACCGAGGAAUGGCGCUUGAUACUGCAAGGCUUGAGGGAGACAGGGGUAAGCGGAACUGAUGGUGGAGCGGUGAAAUGCGUUGAUAUCAUCAGGAACACCGGUGGCGAAAGCGGCUUACUGGGUCUCUUCUGACGCUGAGGAACGAAAGCUAGGGGAGCGAACGGG